rnacentral:rRNA from 1 species
AGCGAACGCUGGCGGCAGGCCUAACACAUGCAAGUCGAGCGCCCCGCAAGGGGAGCGGCAGACGGGAGAGUAACACGUGGGAACGUACCCUUCAGUUCGGAACAACCAAGGGAAACUUUGGCUAAUACCGGAUACGUCCGUAAGGAGAAAGAUUUAUCGCUGAAGGAUCGGCCCGCGUCUGAUUAGCUAGUUGGUGAGGUAACGGCUCACCAAGGCGACGAUCAGUAGCUGGUCUGAGAGGAUGAUCAGCCUCACUGGGACUGAGACACGGCCCAGACUCCUACGGGAGGCAGCAGUGGGGAAUAUUGGACAAUGGGCGCAAGCCUGAUCCAGCCAUGCCGCGUGGAUGAUGAAGGCCCUAGGGUUGUAAAGUCCUUUCGACGGGGAAGAUAAUGACGGUACCCGUAGAAGAAGCCCCGGCUAACUUCGUGCCAGCAGCCGCCGUAACAC